rnacentral:tRNA from 1 species
GGAAAAAUAGCCUAGUGGACAUGGCAUCUGCCCGGUAAGCGGAACACUGUGGGUUCGAUUCCCAUCCCUGGACACUUUUAUUUU